GACGAACGCUGGCGGCGUGCUUAACACAUGCAAGUCGAGCGGAGCGGCGAACGGGUGAGUAACGCGUGAGUAACUGCCCCCCUCUCUGGGAUAACAGUUGGAAACGGCUGCCAAUACCGGAUAGUGGGGGAUGAAUCGCGUCCUAUCAGCUUGUGGGUGGGGUAGUGGCAUACCAAGGCUACGACGGGUAGCCCGCCUGAGAGGGCGAACGGCCACAUUGGGCUGAGAUACGGCCCAGACUCCUACGGGGGGCAGCAGGGGGAAAUAUUGCACAAUGGGGGAGACCCUAAUGCGGCAACGCCGGGGGCGUGAUGACGGCCUUCGGGUUGUAAACCGCUUUCAGCCAUGACGCGGUAGUGGCAGAAGAAGCACCGGCUAACUACGUGCCAGCCGCCGCGGUAAUAC
rnacentral:rRNA from 1 species